ensembl:lncRNA
GGGAGAUCCAGGACCCAGCUAAGAAAGAGAGCAGCACUUGUGCUGCAUUGAUACACAGGACUCACACCAUCCUUUCCCUGCUGACAUGGGGGCAUGGCUAAAGUGCAUUACAUGAGCGUGACUUGCUUUGCUUUUAAUGAAGGAUGGCCAAGCUGCAUUGGCGUGAGAAUGAUCUUUGUCUGCCCAAUCUCACCCUUGUGUUACAUCCCAAAAAAAGGACAGGAUGAGGUCCACAUCGUUCCCUAACAAGCAGGACAAAGAAUUUAAGGAGCCAAAGAACUUAACGAGACAAAGAACUUCACAAGCCAAUUUAAAGAGCCAAACCUUACUAAUGAAGCACUUCAGAAAAGAUACUGUCCGAGAUGAAACAUACUGCCUGAAGGAUGGAAACUUUAGUUUCUUGCUUUUUAUUGUAUUUGUUUUAAUUUAUUUAUUUUGGAGCAGUGAAGAAAAACAUACAUCUGACUUCUUAUUAGAGGGUCUUUUGUGAGGCCAAUUACAAGCGCAAAUUUACUCUCCAGGAAAAAAAAACAAAAACCUAAGUGUCAUGAGCUAGAUCCCUUCCAACUCUAAAACAGUAGACAGGGUCUGGCAUGACCGGUGGUGAACAGAGGGGAAGCAUGACUUCCCCUGACCAGCACAAGAUAGUCUGUUGACCUGCUCACGAUACUCUGCUGAUGCAACCUGUGACAUCAUUAGCCUUCUUUAUGACAAGGGCAUGCUGCUGGCUCAGGUUCAACUUGGUGUCAACUGGGACCCCCAGAGCCUUUUCCACCAGGCUGCUUUCCUGGAACAUGGGAUUGUUCCUCCCCAAGCGAAGGACUUUGCACCUCUCCUUGUGGAAAUCCAUGAGGGUCCUGUCAGCCCAUUUCUCCAGGUUCUCCUGGUCCUUUUGAUGACAGCAACACCUUCUGCUGUAGCCAACACUUCUCUACCUCACCCCCACUCCCGUUUUACAGAACCUGACAACUUACAGGGGGUACACUCUGUCCCAUCACCAAGAUUAUUUAUAAGGACGUUCAUCACAGAAUCAUAGAAUAUCCCAACGGGGAAGAAACCCAUAUGGAUCAUCGAGUCCAACUCCUGGCUCCACAUAGGUCUAAACAAAAAUUCAGACCAUGUGACUAAGAGCACAGCCCAAAUGCUUCUUAAACUCCAACUGGUUUGAUGCCAUCACUACAUCCCUGGGGAGAAUGUUCCAGCACACAACAACCCUCCUUGAAGCACCUCUUCCUGAUAUCCAGCCUGAACCUCCCCUGCCACAGCUUGACACCAUUCCCUUGGGUCCUAUCACUGGUCACUAAAGAGAAUAGAUCAGCGCCUGCCCCUUCACUCCCCCUCGUGAGGAAGCUGUAGACCGCAAUGAGGUCUCCCCUAAGCCUCUACUGUUCCAGGCUGAACAGGCCAAGUGACCUCAACCGCUCUUCGUACCUCUUCUCCUCUAGGCCCUUCACCAUCUUAGUAGCCCUUCUCUGGACACUCUCCAAUAGUUUCACAUGCUUUUUGGAAUGCAGUGCCCAGAACUGCACACAGUACUCAAGGUGAGGCUGCAGCAGUGCAGAGUGGAGUGGGACAAUCACUUUCCUUGACCAACAAGCAAUGCCAUGCUUCAUGCAUCCCAGGAUACGGUUGGCCCUCCUGGCUGCCAGGGCACACUGCUGGCUCGUAUUCAGCUUGCAUUCAACCAAAACCCCUGAUCCCUCUCUGCAGGGCUGCUCUCCAGUGUCUCGUCACCCAGCCUGUACGCAUAGACAGGGUUGCCCCUUCCCAGACGCAAGAUCCAGCACUUGCUCUUGUUAAACCUCAUGUGGUUGGUGAUUGCCCAGCUCUCCAAUGUGUCCAGAUCUCUCUGCAAGCCCUUUCCACCCUCAACAGAGUCAACAACUCCUCCCAGUUUAGUAACAUCAGCAAAUUUGCUCAAAACACCUUCUAGUCCUCCAUCCAAAUUGUUUAUUAAAACAUUGAAGAGAACUGGCCCUAAAAUGGAGCCCUGGGGGACCCCACUGGUGACCGGCCACUGGCCUGAUGCAGCCCCAUUUACCAUAACCCUUUGAGCUCUACCCAUUAGAUAAUUAUUCAUCCAUCAUAUGAUGUUUUUGUCUAGCUGUAUGCUGGACAUUUUGUCCAGUAGGAUCCUAAGGGAAACUGUGUCAAAAUCUUUACUGAAAUCCAAAAAUAUUACAUCAGCUGGUUUCCCUUGAUCAACUAGAUGGGUGAUCUUAUAAUAAAAGGAAAUCAA